rnacentral:rRNA from 1 species
UACGGGGGGGGCAAGCGUUGUUCGGAAUUAUUGGGCGUAAAGGGUUCGUAGGUGGCCGGCUAAGUCAGACGUGAAAUCCCUCAGCUUAACUGGGGAACUGCGUCUGAGACUGGUCGGCUUGAGUGCAGGAGAGGAACGCGGAAUUCCAGGUGUAGCGGUGAAAUGCGUAGAUAUCUGGAGGAACACCGGUGGCGAAGGCGGCGUUCUGGACUGCUACUGACGCUGAGGCGCGAAAGCUAGGGGAGCAAACGGG